CAGGAACAAGCCUUUAAGACAAUGUUUCGCUGGUACAUGACUUCAGUGACAUUGUACAAAAUGCGCAAAACUACUUCAGACUUAUGCUGGAGGGGGUGCGGGGCCAGGGGAACGUAUCUCCACAUGUGGUGGGAGUGCCCCAGCACGACCCCGUUUUGGUCAGCAGUACACAGCCUGGUGUGACAGGUGUUCUCUAGGGCGCCCACGUUGGAACCAUGGGUAUAUCUCCUAAACAGGUCGGUGGAGGGAUGGACUCGAAGGGAACUAAUGCUGCUACACAAGAUCACUCUAGCCGCACGACACGCAAUGGCCUUUAAAUGGUCACAGCAGGACCUACC